UACGGAGGAUCCAAGCGUUAUCCGGAUUAUUGGGUUUAAAGGGUGCGUAGGCGGCUUAUUAAGUCAGGGGUGAAAGACGGUGGCUCAACCAUCGCAGUGCCUUUGAUACUGAUGAGCUUGAAUACACUAGAGGUAGGCGGAAUGUGACAAGUAGCGGUGAAAUGCAUAGAUAUGUCACAGAACACCGAUUGCGAAGGCAGCUUACUAUGGUGUCAUUGACGCUGAGGCACGAAAGCGUGGGGAUCAAACAGG
rnacentral:rRNA from 1 species